rnacentral:rRNA from 1 species
CCGGCAGGUAAUUUUACAUUUUCCCCUUACUUUCUUUUACAAUGCCAUUUUUCUAGGAAGCAGACGCGACCUCUCCAGAAAAAACGACACGGUUUUUUUUGAAAUAAAACAAAACUUUAUUCAUUAGAAAUAACCAAUACAUCGUUUGUGAGGAAGAGUAUAAUUUCAUUAAUAGGCUCCUCGAACCAAUCUGAAGUUGAAUAAAAUCUAGCUAACUUAGCAAGUUCAUGUGCUAGGACUAACCUGCUGGGAAAAAAAACAUGCCCAUCUCCUUGUUCAGGCGAUGCAAGCCGUUCGAGAUUCGAUGGUGAAUACUUCCUGGUGAGCGGCGGCUACUGGGCUCGAGGGUGCGGCGGUCGACGGGCAGGCGGGCGCGGGCUGCGUGGUGAGCGGCGCCUGGCAUCGAUGUUGGCGGCGCUGCCGAUUCAGGGGGGCGGGCGGGCAGCCGCGCUGUGGUGGGUGACCGUGGCUUGUGUGCCUCCCUUUGCCAACAACGACAGCAUUUUCGCUAGGUUUUGGCUUUAAUUUGGUUGGAUGUGUCCAGGUGAGGAGAGCACUGGUGGAGGUGAGCAGCCCCGAUCCUAAUCCUUUCAGCU